rnacentral:rRNA from 1 species
GUAGGUGGCAAGCGUUGUCCGGAAUUAUUGGGCGUAAAGCGCGCGCAGGCGGUUCUUUAAGUCUGAUGUGAAAGCCCACGGCUCAACCGUGGAGGGUCAUUGGAAACUGGAGAACUUGAGUACAGAAGAGGAAAGCGGAAUUCCACGUGUAGCGGUGAAAUGCGUAGAGAUGUGGAGGAACACCAGUGGCGAAGGCGGCUUUCUGGUCUGUAACUGACGCUGAGGCGCGAAAGCGUGGGGAGCAAACAGGGAUUAGAUACCCUGGUAGUCCACGCCGUAAACGAUGAGUGCUAAGUGUUAGGGGGGUUUCCGCCCCCCUUAGUGCUGCAGCUAACGCAUUAAGCACUCCGCCUGGGGGUACGGCCGCAAGGCUG